UCAAUGGCUCCGACACCUACCUACGCUCUAUGGUCUUGCAGCGGAAAGAUACCGGAGUAAAUUGCCUGUCGGACACCUUUCAUCUGUACGUCGACGGUUACAAUUGUUUGGUGGACGGUCACUGCGAGCAGAGAACACGGUAUGUCAUAUCUGAGUCGCUGGAGAAAAAUCCACUCAGAAGCUGCAGCAAUCGCACUGGAAUGUAGCAGCAGUGAAGAUGGUUGCCGUGGAAAUUUAAAUCCUAAUCAGUGUAAUGUAGAAGAUGAAAGUGAAGAUCUAGCAGAAGAGGGAAGUAGUUGUUUAAAUGAAGCAGAUGAAAUUGGUGAUGCGGAUUCAGAUUGUGGAUACAGAGAAUAUGUGUCAACUGAUUCUGAAGAAGUCAUAGAAUCUGCAAAAGAAGACGAGAUGAUAGUGGUCACAGUGAGGUAGAAUUUGAUCAAGAAGACCUCCAAGGAAAUUGUCGACAUCUCAACCGUGAUGAAGAAUUUCAGAGAAAAGUGAUGGAAAUGCUAGUGGAAAUGCAUGAGGAUAUCCGCUCAUUGAAGAAACGGGAUGCAGAAAAGUACGAAGCAACUCAUAUUCAACAAGCGUCAACUGUUGAGGCUCUAAACCUCCUUGAUAGAUCCCUCGACUCCCUGGAAGAAAAACAGAAGCUGAUGAAUGCCUUGUCCAGGGUGGGAGGAGUCCACUUGAAAGACAAUGUUAAAAGGGUCAUGGAGAAAGAGUGUCCAGAGGACGACUGCAGAAAUGGAGGCAAGCAUUGCAGCGGCUGCCGCCUUCUGUUUCAAAUAUGCCCCAGACAGGGUGGGUGGAGGUGGAAGAAAAAAUAAUGUUUCUGAAGUUUAAUUUUUUUUUUGUUCAUAAGUGGGGUCUGUUGAGUUUUGUUAAAAAUUUAAUUUUCUUUCAUUUUUCAAACAUUAUACCUGCUAAACACCUGAAUGUUAGCAUUGAACUUGUGAGCAUGUUUCCAUGUUAGCAUUAAAUUCAAAAUACCCAAGUGCCCCCUAUGUAGACUACAGCUUCAAGGAGCAUUUUCAUUAUGUUUGCCACCAUAAGUAGCUACUGAGCAAAGUCUUUUAAAACUACAAGUUUUAAAAUAAAGAGGUUAUUUUCUUAACUCAA